rnacentral:pre_miRNA from 1 species
GUUGGAAUUGCUGUGUCAUAUGAAAUGCUUAUGUUUAAUUUUUAAGAAACUCCUAGCUUAUUUUUCAAAGUGGCUGUGCCAUUUUACAUUCCUACCAGUAAU